rnacentral:rRNA from 1 species
GACGAACGCUGGCGGCGUGCUUAACACAUGCAAGUCGAACGCUGAAGCUCAGCUUUUGUUGGGUGGAUGAGUGGCGAACGGGUGAGUAACACGUGAGUAACCUGCCUCCUUCUUUGGGAUAACGCCCGGAAACGGGUGCUAAUACUGGAUAUUCACUGGUCUUCGCAUGGGGGUUGGUGGAAAGGGUUUUUCUGGUGGGGGAUGGGCUCGCGGCCUAUCAGCUUGUUGGUGGGGUGAUGGCCUACCAAGGCUUUGACGGGUAGCCGGCCUGAGAGGGUGACCGGUCACAUUGAGACUGAGAUACGGCCCAGACUCCUACGGGAGGCAGCAGUGGGGAAUAUUGCACAAUGGGCGCAAGCCUGAUGCAGCGACGCCGCGUGAGGGAUGGAGGCCUUCGGGUUGUGAAACUCUUUCGCUCAUGGUCAAGCCGCAACAAUGGUUGUGGUGAGGGUAGUGGGUAAAGAAGCGCCGGCUAACUACGUG